rnacentral:lncRNA from 1 species
UAUGAUCAAACCCUAACUUCCAGUACCUGUGAAUGCAACUUUUUCUGGAAACAGGGUCUUUGUAGAUGGAAUGAGUUAAGAUGAACUUAUUAUUGGAGUAGGGUGGGCUCUAAACCCAGUGCAACUGUGAUCUUACAAGAAGAGGAGAAAAAACACAGAGGCAAACAAAGAGAAGCUAAAGCCGUGUGAAGAUGAAGGCAGACAUCAGAGGAAUGCGUCUACAAGCCAAGGACGCCCAGCGACCAUGGAAACCUUGUAGGAAAAUAUUUUUAUGGCUUCAUUGUAAAAACAGAUUUCCAAAACAAGACUUUAAAAAAUAAAAGCAUGAAGGAAUAAAAUAAAAUAAUAAAUAAAUAAAUAAUAAAAAUAAAUAAAUAAAAAUAAAACCGUGAAGGACAGGACUGACACAUUCAACU